rnacentral:rRNA from 1 species
AUAAAAAACCAAUGCCCUUCGGGGCUCUCUGGUGAUUCAUAAUAACUUAACGAAUCGCAUGGCCUUGUGCCGGCGAUGGUUCAUUCAAAUUUCUGCCCUAUCAACUUUCGAUUGUAUGGUCUUGGCUUACAAUGGUUUCAACGGGUAACGGGGAAUUAGGGUUCUAUUCCGGAGAGGGAGCCUGAGAAACGGCUACCACACCCAAGGAAGGCAGCAGGCGCGCAAAUUACCCAAUCCCGACACGGGGAGGUAGUGACAAUAAAUACUGAUACAGGGCUCUUUUGGGUCUUGUAAUUGGAAUGAGUACAAUUUAAAUCCCUUAACGAGGAACAAUUGGAGGGCAAGUCUGGUGCCAGCAGCCGCGGUAAUUCCAGCUCCAAUAGCGUAUAUUAAAGUUGUUGCAGUUAAAAAGCUCGUAGCUGAACCUUGGGCCUGGCUGGCCGGUCCGCCUCACCGCGUGCACUGGUCCGGCCGGGCCUUUCCUCCUGGGGAGCCGCAUGCCCUUCACUGGGUGUGUC